rnacentral:lncRNA from 1 species
GACGGGGUGGGCUGCGGUUCGGGGUGGCAGCGCUGGCGGGUGGCAGCGCUGCCGGGGGCGGGCUGCGGUUGGCGGGUGGUUAUUUAUUUUUUUUUUUUUUUUGGUGACUUUUCCUUCUUUUGCUAGCCUGCUCCAUUCGACGUUUGGCCAUCGCUGACUCUUUUAACUUCAAUCGUUGACGUAAUUUCCUAGCUAAAGCUGCGUUGGCCCUUUCUUUUUUCUUUUUUUUUUAUUUUUUUU